CUUUGUGAUCCAGCUGGCAGGUAACUUUCCAGUGACAACAAAUAGGUAAAGCGCUACCAAAAGAAAGAAGAGUAGUCCUACAAAAAGCAGCUGCCUGACUGAAGGCAGCAAGAGCCGAGGAAGCAUUUGGGAAGACAGACUGAAAUGCCAGGACGCCGGGAAAAGGCAGGAAAAGCUGAUCCUGUCAACAGAUAAACAGAUGGUCGACAGACCUGAGUCCAGAGUGCACCUGACCUCCCACCAGUCUCCAGCUCGCUCACAACCCAAAUGAGGCCAAGAAAACAGAUGCAUGGACAACUGACUCCGCACUACACCCAGACGACUUCGACUGUGCUUGAUUUCUUACAGUUAAGUCGUUGUAGUCUUCCCAGUGGUUUGGGAACACAGUUGGCAGAAGCUGAAAAUUUGUUGAAAUCCAGGACACAUUGAAGAAUGCCGUUCAGGGGGCACGGCAAAGAGACCAAGGAGAGUUUCUCAAGUAAAGGAGACCCAGUCAGGAGACACAUGAUCACCUUCAUCAAGGAAGGUGACCCGCAGAUGAGAGGCAUCAUUUGGCUGUGCUCAUAAGAGUAACUGUAGAGGGGACAAAUAACAUGACAGUAGUCAAAAACAUUCAUUUACAUCAGUGAGUACACACCUCACACUUCAACAAGCAUUUUUAUUAUGGUAUAUCUUUUCAGGGGAUAUAUAGUAUAGAAAUCAAACAUGGAUAUAGCUUAAGAGUAGUCAAUGUAAAGCUUGUAUAGGAGUAUAAAUGUACUAUCCAGUGAAAAACACUCAACACACAUCCAUUAUAAUCUACAUACUGUAGCUGGCAUCACAAGUGAGCCCAAACACAUCUCCAAGAUGUGUCAUCAAUUCCAUGCUCAAGAGAAUUAAUUAGUGUUAGAUAACAAUGGUGUUCAGACUAAACAUUCACACCUUGGUCACAAUUUGUAAAUGUUCACUGUGAGGUGUA